GAUGAAGAACGUAGCGAAAUGCGAUAAGUAAUGCGAAUUGCAGAAUUUCCGUGAGUCAUCGAAUCUUUGAACGCACAUUGCGCCCGCCAGUAUUCUGGCGGGCAUGCCUGUUCGAGCGUCAUUUCAACCAUCAAGCCCCAGGCUUGUGUUGGAGCCCUGCGGCUGCCGCAGCCUCCCAAAACCAGUGGCGGGCUCGCUAUCACACCGAGUGCAGUAGUUUACUCUUCGCUCAGGGCGUGUGGCGGGUGCUAGCCGUAAAACCCCCAACUUCUCAAGGUUGACCUCGGAUCAGGUAGGAAUACCCGCUGAACUUAAGCAUAUCAAUAAGCGGAUGA
rnacentral:misc_RNA from 1 species